rnacentral:lncRNA from 1 species
CCAAGUAGUCAAGUCCACCCUCGCUGAAAAUCUGGGAUCCAGCCUUGAACCACACGGCCUCACCGAACUUGACUCCAUUCCUGGCCAGAAGCUCAGGGAAAACACAUCCAAGAGCUCCCAACAUGGCCCAUCUGCAGUGGAUGACUUCGAGCUCACGGUUCCCGGCGAAGGUCUCUGGGUCAGCAGAGAGCCCAGCAGUGUCCCAACCGUAGUCACCGGGGAACUCUCCGGUCAAGUAGGAUGGAGGCUCACCAGAGAGUGGGCCCAAGUACAAAACUCUGUCUGGGCCAUACCAUGGGCUCCCAGAGGGAGGCCUGGUGCCUGUUUUCCUCAUGGAAACACGGCCAUUGCCCUG